CUUUCUAAAUAAAAUUCUUUCUAAAAGUCAACUCUGACAACCUUUACAGUUAAUUAACUCAAUAAUGACAAUAGUACUUUUUUCUUUUCUGGGGCAUAGAAUAAAACAAAAGAGAAAUAAACAAGCUAAUGUACAAAAAUCCUUCAAAAUUCAAGAUAAAAUACUCCGCUGGCCCCCAUGAACUCAUCUGCCGAUACCUUAUUGAGGCACUAGCAUUUUGAACGCCCUAGCACCCUUAAACCCCCUUUGUCUUCUCUUCGUCUCUAUGUUUGAAGACCCUUCGUUGAUGAAUCUCACCCCUCAUUCACGGGAAGAACAAAAGGUUUUACGUACUGCAAGAGAUGAAGCAAUAAAGAGUUAGAUCGCCAGGUUAUAACUGAUUGAAAUUCCUCCAAUUGAAGGAUAAAACUCCAAAUUAAGAGAAACAGUAUUAACAUAUUUAUGCGGAAAAUUAGAGAGCACGCUCUUCCAAUGACUGCAUGAGAAAUCUUCAACCUCUAUUCACCUGAAAACUCGUAUAGUCCUUUAGAGUGCACAUGAUUUUACUGAUUUUGGACGCUAGUAUCAUGGGCCGAUG
rnacentral:lncRNA from 1 species